UGCUUGGGUAGCUCAGUUGGUAGAGCAUUUGCCCGCGAAACGCAAAGGUCCCGAGUUCGAGUCUCGGUCCGGCAC
rnacentral:tRNA from 1 species